UACGUAGGGUGCGAGCGUUGUCCGGAAUUAUUGGGCGUAAAGGGCUCGUAGGCGGUUUGUCGCGUCGGGAGUGAAAACACUGGGCUUAACCCAGUGCUUGCUUUCGAUACGGGCAGACUAGAGGUAUGCAGGGGAGAACGGAAUUCCUGGUGUAGCGGUGAAAUGCGCAGAUAUCAGGAGGAACACCGGUGGCGAAGGCGGUUCUCUGGGCCUUACCUGACGCUGAGGAGCGAAAGCGUGGGGAGCGAACAGG
rnacentral:rRNA from 1 species